UCAAAGAAGAAAGAUUCACACCUUCAUCCCCGGUCCCCAAAACCGGAAUUUUCUAUAAACUACCCUUUG
rnacentral:tRNA from 1 species